UACCAGCACCCCGAGUGGUCGGGACGUUUAUUGGGCCUAAAGCAUCCGUAGCCGGUUCUACAAGUCUUCCGUUAAAUCCACCUGCUUAACAGAUGGGCUGCAGAAGAUACUAUAGAGCUAGGAGGCGGGAGAGGCAAGCGGUACUCGAUGGGUAGGGGUAAAAUCCGUUGAUCCAUUGAAGACCACCAGUGGCGAAGGCGGCUUGCCAGAACGCGCUCGACGGUGAGGGAUGAAAGCUGGGGGAGCAAACCGG
rnacentral:rRNA from 1 species